GCAGGCCUAACACAUGCAAGUCGAACGGUAACAGGAAGAAGCUUGCUUCUUUGCUGACGAGUGGCGGACGGGUGAGUAAUGUCUGGGAAACUGCCUGAUGGAGGGGGAUAACUACUGGAAACGGUAGCUAAUACCGCAUAACGUCGCAAGACCAAAGAGGGGGACCUUCGGGCCUCUUGCCAUCGGAUGUGCCCAGAUGGGAUUAGCUAGUAGGUGGGGUAAAGGCUCACCUAGGCGACGAUCCCUAGCUGGUCUGAGAGGAUGACCAGCCACACUGGAACUGAGACACGGUCCAGACUCCUACGGGAGGCAGCAGUGGGGAAUAUUGCACAAUGGGCGCAAGCCUGAUGCAGCCAUGCCGCGUGUAUGAAGAAGGCCUUCGGGUUGUAAAGUACUUUCAGCGGGGAGGAAGGGAGUAAAGUUAAUACCUUUGCUCAUUGACGUUACCCGCAGAACAAGCACCGGCUAACUCCGUGCCAGCAGCCGCGGUAAUACGGAGGGCGCAAGCGUUAAUCGGAAUUACUGGGCGUAAAGCGCACGCACGCGGUUCGUUAAGCCAGAUGUGAAAUCCCCGGGCUCAACCUGGGAACUGCAUCUGAUACUGGCAAGCUUGAGUCUCGUAGAGGGGGGGUAGAAUUCCAGGUGUAGCGGUGAAAUGCGUAGAGAUCUGGAGGAAUACCGGUGGCGAAGGCGGCCCCCUGGACGAAGACUGACGCUCAGGUGCGAAAGCGUGGGGAGCAAACAGGAUUAGAUACCCUGGUAGUCCACGCCGUAAACGAUGUCGACUUGGAGGUUGUGCCCUUGAGGCGUGGCUUCCGGAGCUAACGCGUUAAGUCGACCGCCUGGGGAGUACGGCCGCAAGGUUAAAACUCAAAUGAAUUGACGGGGGCCCGCACAAGCGGUGGAGCAUGUGGUUUAAUUCGAUGCAACGCGAAGAACCUUACCUGGUCUUGACAUCCACAGAACCUUGUAGAGAUACGAGGGUGCCUUCGGGAACUGUGAGACAGGUGCUGCAUGGCUGUCGUCAGCUCGUGUUGUGAAAUGUUGGGUUAAGUCCCGCAACGAGCGCAACCCUUAUCCUUUGUUGCCAGCGGUCCGGCCGGGAACUCAAAGGAGACUGCCAGUGAUAAACUGGAGGAAGGUGGGGAUGACGUCAAGUCAUCAUGGCCCUUACGACCAGGGCUACACACGUGCUACAAUGGCGCAUACAAAGAGAAGCGACCUCGCGAGAGCAAGCGGACCUCAUAAAGUGCGUCGUAGUCCGGAUUGGAGUCUGCAACUCGACUCCAUGAAGUCGGAAUCGCUAGUAAUCGUGGAUCAGAAUGCCACGGUGAAUACGUUCCCGGGCCUUGUACACACCGCCCGUCACACCAUGGGAGUGGGUUGCAAAAGAAGUAGGUAGCUUAACCUUCGGGAGGGCGCUUACCACUUUGUGAUUCAU
rnacentral:rRNA from 1 species